rnacentral:rRNA from 1 species
AAGGUAAUAGUCCUGUAUGUUAAACGAGAAGACUUCAGAUAUGAUCCAGAGUACCACGGGACACGUGAAACCCUGUGGGAAGCAGGAGGGACCACCCUCCAAGGCUAAAUACUACCUAGUGACCGAUAGCGUAUAGUACCGCGAGGGAAAGGUGAAAAGAACCCCGGGAGGGGAGUGAAAUAGAACCUGAAACCCUGCACUUACAAGCUGUGGAAGCACAUUUCUUGUGUGACCGCGUACUUUUUGUAGAACGGGCCAACGAGUUACGU